ACCUACAUGGAAAGCAAACUAGCUGAUGGGUGGCCUGUUUUCGGGCUACCUUCAUUCCGGUCACGUUGUUCGAUUUUAUUUGCUCCUGUCAAGCCAGCAUUAAUUUCGUCCAGAAUUACCUAGACCAAAGCAGUGGUGGUGAUCUCUAGCUGCAUGCAGUUCAAGUUAACACGAAGUGUUCAAGUGUAAAUUAGCAUCUCUUUUUGCAUUAUGAACCGCAAAUAAACGAAACGAAAACUAGCAUAGUGCCGAAACUGUAUCCCUUGGCCAGCACAGGUCCGUAGAAAAUUCCUGAAUGUCGACAACCAUGGAUAAAUCAGUAAAUCUGGCAUCAUUGCGAGGCGGUUGAUAAAGCAGAUCUGACAGAACACAUUUGAACGCGAUAGAACAGCUUUGGACAGCAUUAAAACUACAAGUUUGGUGUUUAAGGUCAUUGCCGAUAUGCUUAAUAAAAAUUAUUGGAAUUUUAUUUAACGUUUGCUUGAGAUUUUUGACGUAGGACUACGUCUUUGUUUACUAUACUGGGUU